AAAAUCAAGGUUAACCAAAUUUCAUCAGGUUCUUACAACUAGUGCAACAACAAAACAGGAAAAAAAAACUUUUAAGCUCUAAAAACAAGAUACGCUAGUACUAAACCUCUCUAAAGCUCAAAAACCUCGCAAGAUUACGAUUAGACGAUGACGGGUCGAGGCCGGCUUAAGGAAUUUAGGGCCCUUGGGCAAAAAAAAAUUUUUUGUUCAAAAAAACAAAACAAAAAUUAACCCUACA
rnacentral:lncRNA from 1 species